rnacentral:rRNA from 1 species
GGUGACGAGUGGCGGACGGGUGAGUAAUGUCUGGGAAACUGCCCGAUGGAGGGGGAUAACUACUGGAAACGGUAGCUAAUACCGCAUAACGUCGCAAGACCAAAGAGGGGGACCUUCGGGCCUCUUGCCAUCGGAUGUGCCCAGAUGGGAUUAGCUAGUAGGUGGGGUAACGGCUCACCUAGGCGACGAUCCCUAGCUGGUCUGAGAGGAUGACCAGCCACACUGGAACUGAGACACGGUCCAGACUCCUACGGGAGGCAGCAGUGGGGAAUAUUGCACAAUGGGCGCAAGCCUGAUGCAGCCAUGCCGCGUGUAUGAAGAAGGCCUUCGGGUUGUAAAGUACUUUCAGCGAGGAGGAAGGCGUUAAGGUUAAUAACCUUAACGAUUGACGUUACUCGCAGAAGAAGCACCGGCUAACUCCGUGCCAGCAGCCGCGGUAAUACGGAGGGUGCAAGCGUUAAUCGGAAUUACUGGGCGUAAAGCGCACGCAGGCGGUCUGUCAAGUCGGAUGUGAAAUCCCCGGGCUCAACCUGGGAACUGCAUCCGAAACUGGCAGGCUAGAGUCUUGUAGAGGGGGGUAGAAUUCCAGGUGUAGCGGUGAAAUGCGUAGAGAUCUGGAGGAAUACCGGUGGCGAAGGCGGCCCCCCUGGACAAAGACUGACGCUCAGGUGCGAAAGCGUGGGGGAGCAAACAGGA